rfam:Salmo salar isolate Sally breed double haploid chromosome ssa02, whole genome shotgun sequence.
UGCAUUCACUACUGUAAGUCGCUCUGGAUAAGAGCGUCUGCUGAAUGACUGAAU